CCCUUAGAUGUUCUGGGCCGCACGCGCGCAACAAUGGUCUUCGCAAACGGAUGCAUUCUCGAAGGAGAAUGCCAAUCUUGGAAUCUAUGCCUUGGUCGGGACAGUUGCUUGCAAUUUUUCGACUCGAACCAGGAAUUCCUUGUAAUCGUGAUUCAUCACAUCACGAUGAAUACGUCCCUGCCCUUUGUACACACCGCCCGUCGCUCCUACCGAUCGAAGAGUUAGGUGAAUUGUUUUGAUCGAUAAGAUUUGACUAUGGUCAACUCUCGUUGUGAAAUUCUGUGAAUCUGACUGUUUAGAGGAAGGAAAAGUCGUAACA
rnacentral:rRNA from 1 species